rnacentral:lncRNA from 1 species
AAACCAUCAAAUUCAAAUUUAACAUUUUGCAUUUAACAUCUCCUUGAAGAUGCUCUAAAUUACGUAACUCUUCUGAAAACAAUUUUUGUUUUUUUUUUCCCUUCCUCAUAGGUGUAGUGAAACUUCUUGUGUGUGAGUGUGACAUUAAUGAAAUGAAUAAUAUCUCGUGCGGCUGAAUUGCUACAAAACAGUCAAAACCUAAAGCCCUAAAUAAAACCCUAAUCGUGCAUUGUGCCCUAAUAUAUUCCAAAAACCUCUCUCUCUCUCUCUCUCUCUCAUGUGAUCAUGUAAAUUUUUCUUUUGCUCCACUCCCAAAACAAACCCACUACCAGCUCUACCUCGGAAACCAA